ensembl:lncRNA
CAAUACGAAAGUUGUUUGGAUUGAUGAGAUCUAUAUGUGUACCGAGUUUCAUACGUCUACGUGCAAGUAUGUAUGAUAUAUGGCCCUCCAUAUUCCAGGGGGCGCUGUAGAGCCCCAGUGCCACGCCCGUGUAUCAGUCUCUGCCCGGCCCUAAUGGCCGCAGGUUCCAAUGUGUGUGCCAAUUUUCAAGACUUUUUAAGCAUGUUAAGGGCCCUAAAAGCCCCCGAAACCUUGAAAAAAAAUUAGAAUAAUAAAUAAUAAUAAUAACAAAUAAUCCUAAGGAAAACAAUAGGGCUCUCGCCCUCCAGGCUUGAGCCCUAAUUAAAGCUGCAAGCAGCGAUGAACGGGCCCUCGCACCCGGGCUCACCACCACCGGGUGGCUUUUGUAAAACAGCGAACGGCGAGAAAUAUGCGUUUAAUGUGGUAAAUAUAAGAGGAAUAUGUCAAAGUCAUUUAUAUGUGCCAAUCUUCCUGCUGCCAGCUGGUGGCGCUAUGAUUAUAGUGGAAUAAUGACCUUCAGAUGUGUUCAGGCCAAGACUCUUUUCGAACAUGUGAAGUUUGGGGAAGAUCGGACAUUUUAUGCCUGAGUUACAACAACUUCUAUUCCCAUGGCGAGACAUCGAACUUUGUCACGGCGCC